rnacentral:rRNA from 1 species
GACGAACGCUGGCGGCGUGCUUAACACAUGCAAGUCGGACGGAAAGGCCCUGCUUUUGUGGGGUGCUCGAGUGGCGAACGGGUGAGUAACACGUGAGUAACCUGCCCUUGACUUUGGGAUAACUUCAGGAAACUGGGGCUAAUACCGGAUAGGAGCUCCUGCUACAUGGUGGGGGUUGGAAAGUUUCGGCGGUUGGGGAUGGACUCGCGGCUUAUCAGCUUGUUGGUGGGGUAGUGGCUUACCAAGGCUUUGACGGGUAGCCGGCCUGAGAGGGUGACCGGCCACAUUGGGACUGAGAUACGGCCCAGACUCCUACGGGAGGCAGCAGUGGGGAAUAUUGCACAAUGGGCGGAAGCCUGAUGCAGCAACGCCGCGUGCGGGAUGACGGCCUUCGGGUUGUAAACCGCUUUCGCCUGUGACGAAGCGUGAGUGACGGUAAUGGGUAAAGAAGCACCGGCUAACUACGUG